rnacentral:rRNA from 1 species
AAUGAACGCUGGCGGCAUGCCUAACACAUGCAAGUCGAACGAAGGCUUCGGCCUUAGUGGCGCACGGGUGCGUAACGCGUGGGAAUCUGCCCCUUGGUUCGGAAUAACAGCUAGAAAUGACUGCUAAUACCGGAUGAUGACGUAAGUCCAAAGAUUUAUCGCCGAGGGAUGGGCCUGCGUAGGAUUAGCUAGUUGGUGUGGUAAGAGCGCACCAAGGCGACGAUCCUUAGCUGGUCUGAGAGGAUGAUCAGCCACACUGGGACUGAGACACGGCCCAGACUCCUACGGGAGGCAGCAGUGGGGAAUAUUGGACAAUGGGCGAAAGCCUGAUCCAGCAAUGCCGCGUGAGUGAUGAAGGCCUUAGGGUUGUAAAGCUCUUUUACCCGGGAUGAUAAUGACGGUACCGGGAGAAUAAGCUCCGGCUAACUCCGUG